AGGAGCUUUUCUUUUUACCC
rnacentral:snRNA from 1 species